UUCGCAAUGCCCGAAAGGGUGACGAAGCGACGCCGCGUGCGGGAAGAAGGCCUUCGGGUUGUAAACCGCUGUCGGGGGUUAAGAAAUGUAAGGAUGUUAAUAGCAUCUUUGCUUGACUAAGGCUCCGGAGGAAGCCACGGCUAACUCUGUGCCAGCAGCCGCGGUAAUACAGAGGCGGCAAGCGUUGUUCGGAAUUAUUGGGCGUAAAGAGCACGUAGGUGGUUUUGUAAGUCAGAUGUGAAAGCCUUCUGUUCAAAGGAAGAACGGCAUCUGAAACUGCAGAUCUUGAGUGUAGGAGGGGAGAGUGGAACUUCUGGUGGAGCGGUGAAAUGCGUAGAUAUCAGAAGGAACGUCGGCGGCGAAAGCGACUCUCUGGCCUAUUACUGACACUGAGUGUGCGAAAGUUAGGGGAGCAAACGGGAUUAGAUACCCCGGUAGUCCUAACUGUAAACGAUGGGCACUAAGUAGAGGGGUUUU
rnacentral:rRNA from 1 species